rnacentral:rRNA from 1 species
UACGGAGGGAGCUAGCGUUGUUCGGAAUUACUGGGCGUAAAGCGCACGUAGGCGGCUUUGUAAGUUAGGGGUGAAAGCCUGGAGCUCAACUUCAGAAUUGCCCUUAAGACUGCAUCGCUUGAAUCCAGGAGAGGUGAGUGGAAUUCCGAGUGUAGAGGUGAAAUUCGUAGAUAUUCGCAAGAACACCAGUGGCGAAGGCGCUCACUGGCCCGAUACUGACGCUGAGGAGCGAAAGCCAGGGGAGCAAAGCGGG